GAAGAGAAUGCAGUUAGGGUGUGCUA
rnacentral:sRNA from 1 species